CUGUGUGCGGUGCCCUACUUGGAAAGGUGCCAUUCACACAGAUGUUAUAUGAGUGGCACCUUUCUGAGUGGAGUAAUGUGCAACAU
rfam:Loxodonta africana unplaced genomic scaffold scaffold_81, whole genome shotgun sequence.